rnacentral:lncRNA from 1 species
GCAACCCUUUUUGAUUUCAACCCUACAAAACAGUAACUUUUCCAUGAGAGCAAUGGCGUCGAUGUUGGCUGACAAGCUUUCGUUGUCGUAUAUUUUUGUUGAGAAAGUUCGCAGAUUCUUCAUUCUGUUCAUACAUUUUAAAUCAUGCACUCUACUAUCCAAAUUCCACAGGGUCUCCAACUCAAUCACUCCCUCGUCCAAUGUCAAUCGAUAACUUCCAAUUUUUUCCUCAUCAUAAUCGGGAAGAACCAAGUGCUUUAAACGUACCAUCUCCUUAAAAACAUUUGGAACUUCAACAUUCCUCGAAUCAGUUAAAUCAAGGGUAUCCAUGUAUACCAAAUUCCUUAUGGACGAUGGUAGCUUAUCAAAUUCACAUCUUUCUAAACGCAAACGUCUAAGGUGAACAAGACUAGUGAUUCCUUUCGAUAACUUUCUUCCUUCAAAUUUGAAUCCCACCAUAACUAGAUCUCUCAACAAUUUGAAUUUCUGAAAAUCAACGAUACCUUGCGGGGGAAACUCAACAAUAACACCCGAACCUUUGUGAUUGAACAUUUGAAGAGACCUUAAAUGUUCGCUACUAUCUUCUCCCCAAGUGACUGUAAGCUCGUCAGGUUCCACUUGAACUUCUUUCCUGAAAUAUAUAGCCAAAUGCCGUAUUUUCCUAUGCGAGGAAGCUUUCCCACUUUGAUACUCCAAACUCUGCACACCAAAAUCCUCACUUCUCCCCAAUUUCAAACAUAGUUCUCUUACUACAUCAUGAAGUUUGCAGCUCAAAUAUCUUCUUCCAGGUGCGACACCAUCGUAAAUUUCGACUUGGACGAUGGACCUGGAGGCCAACUCACCCAAGUAGAGCUCUGCAAUUUCCAUCAAAGUUUUGUCCUUGUCUCCAAUAUUCUCAUAUGAAAUCAUGCCUUGUGCUAUCCACAUCAUAUAUAGAUCGUCAACAUCUAUAUCUUCAUCCUCUUGAAAUAUACCCAUAUAGAGAAAGCAAGACUUCAAAUAAUAGGGUAGACUUUCAUAGCUUAAAUUUAGCACUCCAUCAAUCUCCUUUUCAUCUCUAUAUAUGAAUUCUUUGACUAACUCCCACUCCAUCAUCGAAUUUUUCUUUCUCAAGACCCCACCGAGUAAAGAAAUUGGCAACGGCAAAUACCCACAUUUCUGCACCAUUUCUUUCCCAAUUUUCUCAAAAUUUUCUUCCAAUGCAAACUCUGCAUUGAAAAAACAAAUGAAAAUUAAUCUGAUUUGGAAUCGAUGAUGCAAGAAUAGAAACUACCAACAAGUAAAUCUAGAAUAUUAUUUGUAGACUAGAAGUCAAAUUCAACUAACCAGGAAUGUUGGCGUGGGCAAAUGCUUUCUUCUUGAGUAGUUCCAAAGCAUCUUCCUCUUUUAGAAGCCCAAGUUUGACAGGGCAUCCAAUCUCCGCGACUUCCCGUUCGCGCGUGGUGAUCAAGAUUUUGCUCUGCAAAUCUUGGACAAGGAAGGGAUGCUUGAAGCCAUCCCAAUCAGAAACUUUCCAAAGAUCGUCAAAAACAAUGAGACAUCGCUUCUCUCUUUGUAUCUUGCAUAGUCGCUCCUUCAACUCCCACUCGCUCAAACUUGUAACAUCCUCCCUUAUUUUUGGCCCAUCCUUCGUGUUUUGAUGCUGUAGCUGCAUGAGAACAUCAUUCCAAACUGAUUGAAAGCUCUGACAUUGUUGACUAAUGCAAACCCAUGCGCAAAGAUCAAAGCUGGUGCUGUUCUCGUUGUAGAGCUUUUUGGCAAUGGUGGUCUUGCCUGAUCCUCCCAUUCCCCACACUGAAAUUACUCGAUGCUUUUCGUCUUCCACUAGGAGAUGAAGAAGCUGCUUGAGCUCGUCCUUCAUCCCCACAAAACACUCUCCGAUCUCGAAUUCGGGGAAGCUCUUCCUUGCCCUGUUGUUGGCGGACGAGCUUUCCCCUUCAUCUGUAUUGUUGAUGAUGCUCUUCUUUAUGCCACUUUCUAACAUUUCCUUGUUUAUCCUUUCAAGUCGGGAUUUGAUCGGUGAAAUCUCAGAGCCUAAUUGGUGGAUCGACUUGUAUUCUUCCAAACUACAGCUACAUCUGCGGAGGAGCUGUUUGAGGCCUCGUUUUCUCCUUGAAGUCACUUGAUAAGCUGCGUGUCUUUCAAUGGCAGCUUCGGCUCUGUACACAAGAUCUUUGAUCUCUGAGAUCCAAUUGAAAAUGGUUUCAUUUUCAUGUCGUCGACUGUCGGCAUCUUUGAGAAGGCACUUCAUCUCUUUGAGCUGGAUCUCGAGCUCCUUCACUUCGUCACCCACACCAGAUAAAAAUCUUGCUUCUUCCAACAACAAAUCGCGCAGGGUUUCUAGAGCAGUCGACACCACUGCUUCUGCCAUCGCAACAAUUCCAAACUCGAAUUUCUUUGGUCAAAUUGACUUACUAUUGGUGAGAGUAUAUAUAGAGAGGAAUAAGGAUGAGGAACUCGUUGUGGUGAAUACAAAUUCUUCAAUGGAGAUUGCAAAGAAUUUUUAUUCCGGAACAGAGAAAUUAGGACUUGGAGAGUUGUAUGAGAAAAGAGUGAAAGUAGUUUAGCUUCUGAGAAAGCACCAACUCAUUAUUGUGUUUCUACCUUGUCUUCUUCUUCUUCUUCAUUCAAUGAAAAGUAGUUAAAGUUCAAACUAAGAAAUCAAUAUUUAUCGCUUUAGUUGCUUUUCAGUGUGUCCUUUUGAUUUAAUAGUAUUUGUUCUCUUUACCUUUAUUAGUGGAGUGGUUGCACUACUUUUGAUUUUAAUAGUAUUUGUGCUCCUCACCUUUAGUGGAGUGGUCUGAGAAGAUAAUAAGAUGACAAUAAAAAUAGAAUUACAAAACAUAUAUUGUUAAUAUACGAGGGUUAAUAGUCCCUUAAUACACAAAGUAUUACCAAAUUCUAAAAUUGCACGCCAUUUUUAAAAUAUGUUUCAUAAUACAUCACCUUUACUUAUUUUUUGAUUCUUCCCACGAUGAGUGUUUUCCCUAAAUGCGAAAUUGACGUGGCAUCAGUUGCUGCAUUUCUUGGUUUGCUUGCCUGCUUUUGGUUCUCUAGUAAAGGUUGAGUUUUUGUUUCAAUAAUGAUUUUAGCUAUUGGGUUGAUUAUGAUUAGUAGUUGGGUAAUGAGGUUAUAUUUUUGUCUAAAUUCAUUGUAUUGCAAUGUUAAGUUGCUUUACUUGGAAUUAUGCCUCAUUAUCUUAAAACCUUAUUACUUAAUAUUGGGGUUAUAUUAAUAGAGCAACAAGAUCAAUGAGAUAGGUUCCCGUGACAAUGGAAGAAGCCGGCCCUUGGAUGGGAUGAUGAGUUUUGGUAAUCCUUUUGAACCAGUGAUGUAUUUUCAAUUACAUACAUUUGUAUUCAUCAGUAAAAUCGCUGGCUGGUGGACGUCGCCAAUCACCAAAAUAAUUCCUGCAGAAUUAUCAAAAUAUAUUAGUAUCGUGAUAAGCAGGGUCGAUCCCACAGAGAGCAGAUAAAAUCAUCCAAUUCCCUAAAUCUAUUAAAUUUUGAUGAUGCCACCACGCCUUAACUUGGAGAAGAAUAUUAAUUAACUAAGCAAAGCAAAUUAAAUCAAAUAAAAGACUCUUGAAUUAAAUCAAUUAAAAAGGUAAUUCGGCUCAAAUAAAUCCACACUAAUUUAAUCUCUGAUCCUUGACGCAAUAAUUAAUUAAUCCCUAUUAACCAAUUAGUUAUAGGAUACCGUGAUACGCACUGACAUACCAGCUAGAUACGCUAGUCUUGCCUAUUUCCCUUAUUAAAAUAUAACCUAGCUGGAUACGCCAGUCUUAGAUUUAAUAUUCUAAUAGCAUUAAGGUGAAGGAACCCAAUUUAUACCAAUUAUCCUAGAUACGCUAGUAAUAAUUAAUAUACCAAUUAAUUCCUACUACGAACAUGGCAGUUUUAUCACUAAUCAGCCCUAUUCCAACAAUUACGGAUUGGAGGUGCUAAUUGACUGUAAUCCAAUUAAACCUAAGUUGGCCAGACUUAAAUAAAAUCAGAAUUAUCUUUAAACCCUAGGAAUUAAUCGAAAUAAAUAGGAACCAAUUUUAUGCUCAAUUAGGUCUCACAGAUUAAUAAAUUAAUGCUUCAUUAUUCUCGCCGAAUUAAAAGUUUAGCUACUCAUACUUAAAAUAAGAACAAUCAAAUAAAUAAAAGUAAACAUAAAAUAAUCGAAUAUAUUAAAAUAAAUCUAAACCACGAAAAGAAAAUAAAAUUAAGGAAACAAAUCUCUCAAAUAAACUGUUCUUCUCGCAAUGUCCAGCCGCCAAUGAUUUUCACGUCCAAACUCGCCAAUUGCCAAAGUAAAAAGCAAGAGAAAAAUCUAAAACUAAACUUCAUGCAUAAAAUUAAAACGCAGCAAUCAAUAAUGGAAUCAGAAGAGUUGUUCUCUAAAAAAAUAAGUCAAACUCAAAAUUGCAUGCCUCAAAACCUAAAAACACGUCUGAUCUAGCUAAAGCAAAAAUAAAAUGUACUAAGAAUCCUAAUCAAAGUCAAACUUAUUCUACUUAAGGUCUCCAAUUGCGGCUGCCAUAAAAAAACAAGAGUCCUAAUUCUAUUUAAACACAAAGUGGCCGAAUCACCCUAAUGUUUAUGGGUUUCGGCCCUUCCCAAAACUAAAGCCCAAAAGUUUAAUUAAAAGAGUAUUUGACUUAAAUAAAUUACAAGAUAAAUAUUUCCAAAGCCCAAAUCUCUAAAUCUCUCCACAAAUUCCACGUCAAUCUCCAUCAAACGCUUGCUUUUCUCUAAUUCAUUCCAUCCACGAGCUCCAUCUCUAUUUCUUCGAAUUCCUGCGCUAAAGCAUUGCAAACUAUGCAAAAUCACAUAAAACUAAGGCGAACACACACUAAACUAGGUAACUAAAAUACACACAUCACUGGCCCACUCCGGCGACGUCAGUAGAUAAAACGAUGAACUAUUUGUCCGGAAAGCCAUCAAUGAUCACCGACGACAACAAAAAUUCGUUGGUAAAUUUUUUACUGAUUAUGUGGACACUGACCUCACCGUCGGUGGUGUUCUGUCAUAUCUCACUUUGUCGAUCGAUCGAUUUUCACUGGGCAUCGUCGGUGUAGUAUAUUAAUUUUUUUUAAUUAGCGUUUGGUCUAUUUUAAUUCUAUAACUAUAGUAAACAUCUUUAAAAUUUAUCGAUAUAUUAAUAAAUUAUUAAUUUAUAGAUAAAAUUCUAAGGUCUCGAAGUUAUUAAUUUAUAGAAGUUUUAUUAUAAAUUUUUUAAAGAUCCAGCGAUCAUCCUGAAUUUUCAAACAUAUACAUAUUAAGGUAUGAUAACAACAUAUACUCCCUUCGUCCUCAUAAAAUAGUAUCCAAUUUAGUCUAUUUCGUUCGUCCUCAUAAAUAGUAUCCGGUCUAUUUUGUAUAAGUUUUCUACUUACUAUUAAAGUGGGACCCUUACAGUCCACUCACAAGUCACAACACAUUCAACUAAUUUAUUAAAAUCCGUGUCAUUUAGAGAGGAAUACUUUUUAUAUGGUUGGAGGAAGUACUUAAUUUGAUUGGGCUUUUGAGUUGGAUUUUAUAACAUGAAAUUGAAGUACUGUUGGGCCUCAUAAUUUGUGGGUUUAAUUUAUGUUUGUUGGAUCUUUUAAUUAAGGCGUGGAUCCAUUUCUUUCAUUAGUGGAUCUUUGCAAUUGGGCUGAUAUAUAGUCGGGCUUCGUUAAUAAUUACUUGAUCACUUAUUUAUUGUAGGAAAGAGUUUUCAAAGUAAAGAAAACGGUUGAGCUAAAUAUUCACCAAUCAUGAUUUUAAAUCCAUCAAAUCAAAGCACAACACUACCAUUAGUAUUAGUAUAUUCAUGCUAACCAACAUGAAUAUUCCUCAAUAUAAUAUUUAGACUUUGAGCUAAGAAUUACAUAUAUUCAUAUUAAGCAACCCAAUUUUCAAUUUAUUGGAUGCUAAACAUUAUCAAUACUAUUAUUUUUUUUUUUCAAAUUUCUGUAACUCUUAAAAAUAGUUAGUUUUUAAAUAUUCCUCAAUAUUAAUAAUUUUAAACUUUUAUUUGUUGCAGAUAAUAAAUCAAUAUUAAAUUAGAAUUCUGCCAAAAAAUAAUUAUAAAGACACUAGUCCAUAAAAUACUUCCUUAUAGCAGUGGAAAGGGUUUUUAAGAAAUAUAAUUGUGUGUUUGGUAAGUGGAAAAGGCCCCCCACAAUUUAAAAAAAAGUUGAGAUAGUUAAUAAGUUUGUAUGGGUACAUUAUAUUAGUGACAAUAUGUAUAAAUAAAUGGGGAAUUUAAGAGUGAUGGUUAGUGAGAUUAUUAUCAAAAAUGGAGUAGAAAGAUGUUAUGCGAAUAGACGGAAAAGAAAAAAAAAUGAAGUUAUUUAAUGGGCGGAGGGAGUACUUAAUAUACAUGUCGGAUGAUUCAACACAAUUAAUAAAAACUUUACAAGAUUAAAAAACUUCCACCGUCUCUCCUUUCUCGAUGCAACACAAGCAUUGUCUGUUGUUCAUGAUUUGCAUUACCUAUAAUAUCAACAUAUCUAAGAAUUUCUGGAAGAUCAUAGGAAUGUAUGUUUUUUUCUCAUGCUUUCUAAGAUAUAUAGUAAUAAACUUUUUCAAAGUUUUGUAAACUCACAAUUCAAUUGAAGUACUUAGUUUUGAAAUCUUUGGACAACGCAUCAAAGUAGGGAUCCUAAAAGAUUCUCACAUUUGUUGGGACACUAUAUACCAAGAUUAUUAUACUAGCAAAUAACCUCUGCAAUUUAUUUGGCAUUUAAAAUGUUAUUACUUCAUUAAUAGACUCAAUAUUUCUUGAGUCGGGGGUGGAAUAAAACUGUGCAGAAUCAUCAAAAUCAAACAGAUCAUGGCUGACAAACUUUCGUUGUCGUGUAUUUUUGUUGAGAAAUUUCUCAGAUUCUUCAUUUUGUUCAUACAUUUUAAUUCAUGCACUCUACUAUCCAACCCCAACAGACUCUCCAACUCAACCACUCCCUCGUCCAAUGUUAAUCGAUAACUUCCAAUUUUUUUCUCAUCAUAAUAGGGAAGAGCCAAGUGUUUUAAACGUAGCAUCUCCUUAAAAACGUUAGGAACUUCAAUAUUUCUGGAACAACUUAAAUGAAGGGUAUCCAUGUAUACCAAAUUCCUUAUGGACGACGUUAGCUUAUCAAAUUCACAUCUUGCUAAACGCAAACAUCUAAGGUGAACAAGAUUAGUGAUUCCUUUCGGUAACUUCCUUCCUGAAAAUUUGAAUCCUUCCAUAACUAGAUCUCUAAGUAAUUUGAAUUUCUGAAAAUCAAAGAUACUUUAGCAGGGGAAACUCAACAGCAACACGCAAACUGAAGUGAUUGAAUAUUUGAAGAGACCUUAGUGUUUGCUAGCAUCUUCUCCAAGCCCGUCAGGUUCCAGUUCGACUUCUCUUCUGAAAUGGAUAGCCAAAAUGUCGUAUUUUCAUAUGUUAGGAAGCUUCACUUAAUAAGGUAUUAAGUUUUCCAGUUUGAUACUUCAAACUCAGCACACCAAAAUCCUCCAUUUUCCCAAUUUCAAACAUACUUCUCUUCUACAUCAUGAAGUUUGCAGCUCAAAUAUUUUAUUGUAGGUGUGACACCAUCGUAAAUUUCGACUUGGACUAUGGACAUGGAGACCAACUCACCCAAGUAGAACUCCGCAAUUUCAAUCAAUGUUUUGUCCUUGUUUCGAACAUUCUCAUAUGAGAUCAUGCCUUGUGCUAUCCAUCAACUAUAUAGAUCGUCAACAUCUAUAUCUUCAUCCUCUUCAAAUAAACCCAUAUAGAGAAAGUAAGGCUUCAAAUAAUAGGGUAGACUUUCAUAGCUUAAAUUUAGCACUCCAUCAAUCUCACUUUCAUCUCUAUAUAUGUGUUUUUUAUAUCCUUAUUUACCAACUCCCAUUCCAUCAUCGAAUUUUUCUUCUCAAGACCCCACCGAGUAAACAAAUUGUUAACGGCAAAUACCCACAUUUCUGCACCAUUUCUUUCCCAAUUUUCUCAAAAAACUUUGCCUCUUCCAACAACAAAUCACGCAAGGUUUCUAGAGCAGUCGACACCACUGCUUCUGCCAUUGCAAUGAUUUGGGGGAAGCUCAGAUAUCUUUGGUCUAAUUGAUUGGUGGAACACUCUUGAUUUGCUAAUUUGGUGGUGAGAGGGAAGUUAAUUAGAAAAGAUAAGGAAGUUGUGGAGCUGCUGCCUUCGCCAGUAGUCAAUAGUCAAUACAUGUUAAAUAUGUGUAAAUAGUUAGAAUAUGUGUAUAAAAUAUGUUAAAUAUGUGUAAAUAGUCGUCGUUACACCAAAAAUGUCAGCACAAGUUAGAAUAUGUGUAUAAAAUGAAGAAAUUGAUCUUAUUAAGAGCAAACGCAUGGUAAAUGAGGAAGACCCUCCACAAAAGCGGGAGGUUCAUUUAUCCCAAACUUCCACAUUAGAAAAAUCACAAGCAUAUAUAUUAAACUGAAUCUCUCACCAACACACAACUCACUUGAUGUUAAAAUGGAUCAUCAAUAUUCUCGACUAUAUUUAAUUUCUCGACAUCAUGAUAUUAUGCGAUUUUUUUUUCAAAUGGGUUAAAUUUGCAUACGAGUUAAUCAGAUUGGGCUUUUGAUUUCGGUUUUAUAACAUGAAAUUGAUGUGCUGUUGGGCCUGAUAGUUUACGGGCUGAAUUUCUGUUUGUUGGGUCUUUUAAUUAAGGUAUGGAUCCAUUUCUUUCAAAGUGGAUCGAAGAUGAAAGAGAUAAGGUUUCAAAGAAAGAAAACAGAGAAAGAAAUUGGGUUGGGCUCAUAUUUGUAAUUGGGCUGAUAAGUGGUUGGGCUUCAACCACGAGAACACGACGAAUCGAAAUAGAAACAAAAUGGAAAUCACACGCACUCGAAAUUACGUGGUUCGAUCCAGAAUGGAUCUUCGUACAUAGGGGUGUUCGCGGUUUGGUUUGAUGCGGUUUGGCAUCAAAACCAAACCAAUUAAACCAUAAAAUACAGUUUUAUAAUAUUUUGAAACCAAACCAAACCGUAUUAAUAUUAAAACCAAACCAAACUGUAUUAAUGCAGUUUCAUGCGGUUUAGUUUGCGAUUUAUUUUUAUUUUUUAUUUUUCUAUUUUAGAGUAAUAAAAAAUCAAACAUCUAAGGUCUUCAAAAUUAAUAAAAAUAAAAUAACAUUGAAGAAAAUGAUAAACCAAUUGACUUUAAUCCAAUUAAAUCUUAAGUUGAUCAGGCUUAAAUAAAAUCGGAAUUAACUCUAAACGUAAGGAAUAAAUCGAAAUCAAUAGAAAUCAAUUAUAUGAACAAUUAAGUCUCACAGAUAUUAAAUCAGUAUUUCAUUAUUCUCAUCUAAUUAAGAAUUUAACUACUUAUAAGUAAACUAUAAACAAUCAAAUAAAUUAAAGCAAACAUGAAAUAAGCAAAUACGAAACUAACGAAAUAAACUAAAUUAAAAAGUAAACUAAUCUUCAAGGAAGCAUUUCAUCUCUUUGAGCUGGAUCUCGAGCUCCCUCACUUGGUCACCCACACCAUAUAAAAACCUUGCUUCUUCCACCAACAAAUCGCGCAAGGUUUCUAGAGCAGUCGACACCACUGCUUCCGCCAUUGCAAUAAUCUGGGGAAAGCUCAGAUUUCUUUGGUCUAAUUGAUUGGUGGAACACUCUUGAUUUGCUAAUUUGGGGAAGCUCCGAUAUAUCAAAUUGAUUGGUUGAACACUCUUGAUUUGGUAGUGUGAGAGGGAAGUUGAUUAGAAAAGAUAAGGAAGUUGUGGUCGUAAUUGUACAGAUGCUGCCUUCGAUCGCCAAUAGUCAAUACAUAUUAAAUAAUUUGUCAUUACACCAAAGUGUGGGCACACGUAAUGAGAUCCAGUGUCCUAUAAUUUUAUGUGUCAUCGUGUCUCAUGCGUACAUCUAUUAUUUUAAAAAUAUUUUUUAUAAAAAUAAAAUUUAUUAUAAUACUAUGAAUUCUAUUUAAUUUUUAUUUCAAAAAAUUAAAUUUUUUAAAAAGUAUAUACCAUGACUUUGAAUUUAUCAACCUAUUAUUAGGUAAUAAAACUGAAAUUAAAUUAUAGAAUAAAUCCCAGUUAAUAAUCAUAAAAAUAAACUAAAGCAUACAAAAUUGAGAGUGGAACAUAAAAUGAGACUUAAAGUAUGGUACACUGAAUCUCAUUCCGUUGGCACACAACUUUUAGUAAAUAGUUAGAAUAUGUGUACAAAAUGAAGAAAUGACAAAUUAUUAUUUUUUUUUUGACGAAAAAGAUGAUUUUAUUAAGAGCAAAUGCAUGGUAAUUGGUAAGUGAAGAAGACCCUCCAGAGAAGCAUGAUUGGGAGAUGUGAAUGCCUUGUUCAAUACUCCCUCAUUUGUUGCUACCAAUUUCACUCCAAAGUCUUUGUUGCAAACUGUUGCAAUAAAUGCAACAUUGCAUCUGCACAAUCUAUGUCAAAAGUGUUGGCUAUUGUGGGCCAUUCCACAUGAAUUGUCGUAUAUUUUUGUUGAGAAAGUUCGCAGCUUCUUCAUUCUGUUCAUACAUUUUAAGUCAUGCACUCUACUAUCCAAAUAACACAGGGUCUCCAACUCAAUCACUCCCUCGUCCAAUGUCAAUCGAUAAUUUCCAAAUUUUUCCUCAUCAUAAUCGGGAAGAAACAAGUGUUUUAAACGUAGCAUCUCCUUAAAAAUAUUUGGGACUUCAAUAUUCAUCGAAUCAGUUAAAGUAAGGGUAUCCAUGUAUACCAAAUUCCUUAUGGACGAUGGUAGCUUAUCAAAAUCACAUCUUUUUAAAUACAAACGUCUAAGGUGAACAAGACUAGCGAUUCCUUUCGAUAACUUUCUUCCUUCAAAUUUGAAUCCCACCAUAACUAG